rfam:Sinomicrobium oceani strain CGMCC 1.12145 genome assembly, contig: IQ32DRAFT_scaffold00005.5
AGAGAGGUGGCCGAGUGGUCGAAGGCGCACGCCUGGAAAGUGUGUAUACGCCAAAAGCGUAUCGAGGGUUCGAAUCCCUUCCUCUCUG